rnacentral:rRNA from 1 species
UACGUAGGCAGCAAGCGUUGUUCGGAGUUACUGGGCGUAAAGGGUGUGUAGGCGGCCUGUUAAGUUCCGUGUGAAAUCUCCCGGCUCAACCGGGAGGGUGCGCGGAAAACUGGCGGGCUAGAGUGCGGGAUGGGAGAGUAGAAUUCCUGGUGUAGCGGUGAAAUGCGUAGAUAUCAGGAGGAAUACCGGUGGUGUAGACGGCUCUCUGGACCGGUACUGACGCUGAGGCGCGAAAGCCAGGGGAGCAAACGGG